ensembl:snoRNA SNORD36 Small nucleolar RNA SNORD36
UUUCAGUGAUGUGUGAAUUUCUUCACCUGAAUUAAUAGUGAAGAGCAAAAUGAGCUUUUUAACCCUGAGCAAU